rnacentral:rRNA from 1 species
AACGAACGCUGGCGGCAUGCCUAACACAUGCAAGUCGAACGAGAGCUUCGAGUCUAGCGCCGCGCGGGUGCGUAACGCGUGGGAACUUGCACUUAGGUUCGGGACAACUCCCCGGACGUGGUCCUAAUACAGGAUGAUGUCUUCUGACCAAAGAUUUGACGCCCUUGGGUGGGCCCGCGUGGGCUUAGCUAGUUGGUAGGGUAAAAGCCUACCAAGCCAACGAUCCGUAGCUGGUCUGAGAGAAUGGUCCGCCACACUGGGGCUGAGACGCGGCCCAGACUCCUAGGGGAGGGAGGAGUGCGGAAUCUUGCACGACGGGCGGAAGCCUGAUCCAGCAAUGCCGCGUGAGUGAUGAUGGCCUUAGAGUUGUACAGCUCCCUUACCCGGGCUGAUAAUGACCGUACCGGGAGAAUAAGCACCGGCUAACUCCGUG